rnacentral:rRNA from 1 species
GAUGAACGCUGGCGGCGUGCCUAAUACAUGCAAGUCGAGCGAACAGAUAAGGAGCUUGCUCCUUUGACGUUAGCGGCGGACGGGUGAGUAACACGUGGAUAACCUACCUAUAAGACUGGGAUAACUUCGGGAAACCGGAGCUAAUACCGGAUAACAUAUUGAACCGCAUGGUUCAAUAGUGAAAGGCGGCUUUGCUGUCACUUAUAGAUGGAUCCGCGCCGUAUUAGCUAGUUGGUAAGGUAACGGCUUACCAAGGCAACGAUACGUAGCCGACCUGAGAGGGUGAUCGGCCACACUGGAACUGAGACACGGUCCAGACUCCUACGGGAGGCAGCAGUAGGGAAUCUUCCGCAAUGGGCGAAAGCCUGACGGAGCAACGCCGCGUGAGUGAUGAAGGUCUUCGGAUCGUAAAACUCUGUUAUCAGGGAAGAACAAAUGUGUAAGUAACCGUGCACAUCUUGACGGUACCUGAUCAGAAAGCCACGGCUAACUACGUG